AACAGUCUUGCCUUUGAAAAAUACUAACAUAUUUUUGUUACUAAUUUUCACAACUACAGAAAUUCAACUGUUAUAAAAAUGGAUCGCUACAUAACAAGAGAGAGAAAAAUAAAUCCAAACCAGCCAGAGCAUCUCACGGGAAAUCAAAUGAUUGAGUUUUCACCAACUAGUGCAGGAAAUAAUAUUACUAUGAAUCAACCAAUUCCCGGAUAUCAGUACACUGGAGGCAAUCAUAUGCAAACUAUGGA